rnacentral:lncRNA from 1 species
UAUUAUUAUUAUUAUUAUUAUUAUUCUAUCUUUCUCUUUUCUUUCUUUCUUUCUUUCAUACAUAUCACAUUCCACGUCUACAUCUAUUAGAUUUUAUGGAAUCUGCCUUUUACCGAUGAAGAUAACAAGACUGAACUAAACAGAAAGAUACAGGAAGAAGAGAAGAGACAAAAAUGAUACACUAAAAAGGAAAAAAAAAACAACAACAAAAAAGCUGAAAGGAAAGAAUAAUUUUGUAUAAAUGUUCUACUAACAUUUACAUUAUAUCACAUCUAACAUAGGAUAGCAAACAUUCAGCAGGGGAACAACGAAACUGGCUAUUUCUCGCCUACAGAUUUAGCUCUCGUGUGACAUGAGGUUGGCUUGCUGCCGAAAAUCCAUCACUACGUCUGUGGAGUGAUUCCUGUAGAGAAAUAGGACGGAAUUUGCUGGUAAUUUUAGGAAGACCUCACGUUACCUUGGUUACGUCCCAGAUAUUUGGGCGAGGAUUACGUUCUUCCCAGCAGUUGGCAAAAGAUUUGCAGAAACAAAUUUCUUGCAUCAACCUGUUUUUGAUUCUAUUUCCUUCUUUCUUCUCCUGUCCCUUCUUCUGUCUUUGUCUUUUUUCCACACCAAAAUACGUCUGGAGUGAAAGACCCAAAUUAAUUUAUAUUUAAAUUAAAUCAAGUGAAUUUUAGGUUUUCCUAUGUUUUUGUUGCACACAUCACAUAUAUCUAUUUGCUUUUCAUUCUUUUCAUUGAAAGAGGAUUUGUAUCAAGCUAUAGCAGACAGCUUCUUUGGUAUACUUGUUCAUUUCUUUUAGGGUCUAUCCACGCAUUUUAAAUUUUCUUACUUAAUUCUCAUCCUGUGCAAUUAAUAUAAUUUUUGAAAUAUAAAAUGAAUUCUAAA